AUUGAACGCUGGCGGCAGGCCUAACACAUGCAAGUCGAGCGGAUGAGGGAAGCUUGCUUCCCGAUUUAGCGGCGGACGGGUGAGUAAUGCCUAGGAAUCUGCCUAUUAGUGGGGGAUAACGUUCCGAAAGGAACGCUAAUACCGCAUACGUCCUACGGGAGAAAGUGGGGGAUCUUCGGACCUCACGCUAAUAGAUGAGCCUAGGUCGGAUUAGCUAGUUGGUGGGGUAACGGCUCACCAAGGCGACGAUCCGUAGCUGGUCUGAGAGGAUGAUCAGCCACACUGGAACUGAGACACGGUACAGACUCCGACGGGAGUCAGCAGUGGGGAAUAUUGGACAAUGGGCGAAAGCCUGAUCCAGCCAUGCCGCGUGUGUGAAGAAGGUCUUCGGAUUGUAAAGCACUUUAAGUUGGGAGGAAGGGUUGUAAGCUAAUAUCUUGCAGCUUUGACGUUACCAACAGAAUAAGCACCGGCUAACUCUGUGCCAGCCGCCGCCGUAAGAC
rnacentral:rRNA from 1 species